GAUGAAGAACGUUGCGAAAUGCGAUACUUGGUGUGAAUUGCAGAAUCCCGUGAACCAUCGAGUCUUUGAACGCAAGUUGCGCCUCAAGCCAUUAGGUUGAGGGCACGUCUGCCUGGGCGUCACAUAUCGUUGCCUGAUGCCAGUUUCCUCGUGAUGGGUGACUGUGCAGGGCGAAUGAUGGCUUCCCGUGAGCAUUGUUGCCUCAUGGUUGGUUGAAAAUUGAGUCCUUGGUAGGGAGCGCCGUGAUAGAUGGUGGUUGAGUGACGAACGAGACCCAAUCAUGUGAGACCCCUACCGAAUUUGGCCUUCAUGACCCACAUGCGUCUUUGGAACGCUCAUGACGAGACCUCAGGUCAGGCGGGGCUACCCGCUGAGUUUAAGCAUAUCAAUAAGCGGAGGA
rnacentral:misc_RNA from 1 species